CGACAAGUGCUGAUCCAAUCAACUUCGCUGAGUGAUAAUCUCGCUCAAAUUGGAGCCUCUUUCAUCAACUCACAAAAAUCAGGUUGGUUUGUGAAUUUACAAAUCAAGGAAAGGAAAAUCUCAAGCGGGAUUGACUUGGGGACUGGAUGUAGGUCUGGAGGACCGAACCAAGACAAAUCAUUGUGUUUGCAUUUGUCUAUUUUUCUGUGAUUUGUGUUGUUAUUCAUUAUCUUUUCAGUUAGUAACUUUUAUGAUUAAAGAUUUAUAAAUACAAUUAAUUUUCGUUUUC